rnacentral:rRNA from 1 species
UACGUAGGGUGCAAGCGUUAAUCGGAAUUACUGGGCGUAAAGCGUACGCAGGCGGUUUGGUAAGUCAGAUGUGAAAUCCCCGAGCUCAACUUGGGAACUGCGUUUGAAACUACCAGACUAGAAUAUGUCAGAGGGGGGUAGAAUUCCACGUGUAGCAGUGAAAUGCGUAGAGAUGUGGAGGAAUACCAAUGGCGAAGGCAGCCCCCUGGGAUAAUAUUGACGCUCAUGUACGAAAGCGUGGGGAGCGAACAGG